rnacentral:lncRNA from 1 species
AGACCACCACGGUGACUUAUAAGCAACUCACUGUAUUUUAGUACUGAACCAUCUGAGUUUCUAACUCAGUGACAGAAGGCUACUGAGUGCAGUCAAGUACUUAUCAAGUUGGUGUGUGAGUCAAGAUGGAAUUGACCCCUCUGAAUUAAUAGAAAAUAUGCAUCAGUAUAUUUCAAUUCAGUAAAAACUUGGUCAGGAUAAUCC